GUGAGUGGAAGGGUGGUUUCCGCGGCUUUUGUGUCGUGAGGAAAGUCCCCCCACCUCCGGGUAGGGAAUGUCGAGAGGACUUAGGAUGAGAGUCUUGGCUCUGGUAUAGAAACGACACGGCCCGCAUGGAGUUAUGAUGCGUUUUUGCGUUGAGUGUUGAUGUGUGGGAAUCGAUGGAACGACGAAUCCUCCUUGGUGCAAGUCCAAAAUUGGGUUAUGGGUUGCCCGGCCUUAUCCCAGGUAGGACGCUUAGCGAAAUACCACCACCAACUAUUUGGUUGGGAACAGAAGGGGGCUUACUCUCCACACAC
rnacentral:RNase_P_RNA from 1 species